UAAACGACUCUCGGCAACGGAUAUCUCGGCUCUCGCAUCGAUGAAGAACGUAGCGAAAUGCGAUACUUGGUGUGAAUUGCAGAAUCCCGUGAACCAUCGAGUCUUUGAACGCAAGUUGCGCCCGAAGCCAUUAGGUCGAGGGCACGCCUGCCUGGGCGUCACGC
rnacentral:rRNA from 4 species